UCCCCUAGGGGGACUCGGAGGGAUCAUUACCGAGUUAUACAACUCAUCAACCCUGUGAACAUACCUAUAACGUUGCCUCGGCGGGAACAGACGGCCCCGUAACACGGGCCGCCCCCGCCAGAGGACCCCCUAACUCUGUUUCUAUAAUGUUUCUUCUGAGUAAACAAGCAAAUAAAUUAAAACUUUCAACAACGGAUUCUCUUGGCUCUGGCAUCGAUGAAGAACGCAGCGAAAUGCGAUAAGUAAUGUGAAUUGCAGAAUUCAGUGAAUCAUCGAAUCUUUGAACGCACAUUGCGCCCGCCAGUAUUCUGGCGGGCAUGCCUGUUCGAGCGUCAUUACAACCCUCAGGCCCCCGGGCCUGGCGUUGGGGAUCGGCGGAAGCCCCCUGCGGGCACAACGCCGUCCCCCAAAUACAGUGGCGGUCCCGCCGCAGCUUCCAUUGCGUAGUAGCUAACACCUCGCAACUGGAGAGCGGCGCGGCCACGCCGUAAAACACCCAACUUCUGAAUGUUGACCUCGAAUCAGGUAGGAAUACCCGCUGAACUUAAGCAUAUCAUA
rnacentral:rRNA from 1 species